UACAGAGGUCUCAAGCGUUGUUCGGAUUCAUUGGGCGUAAAGGGUGCGUAGGUGGCGCUGUAAGUCGGGUGUGAAAUUUCGGAGCUUAACUCCGAAACUGCAUUCGAUACUGCGGUGCUUGAGGACUGGAGAGGAGACUGGAAUUUACGGUGUAGCGGUGAAAUGCGUAGAUAUCGAUAAGGAAGACCAGUGGCGAAGGCGGGUCUCUGGACAGUUCCUGACGCUGAGGCACGAAGGUCAGGGGAGCAAACGGG
rnacentral:rRNA from 1 species